rnacentral:rRNA from 1 species
AUUGAACGCUGGCGGCAGGCCUAACACAUGCAAGUCGAGCGGAUGAGAGGAGCUUGCUCUUCGAUUCAGCGGCGGACGGGUGAGUAAUGCCUAGGAAUCUGCCUAGUAGUGGGGGACAACGUUUCGAAAGGAACGCUAAUACCGCAUACGUCCUACGGGAGAAAGUGGGGGAUCUUCGGACCUCACGCUAUUAGAUGAGCCUAGGUCGGAUUAGCUAGUUGGUAGGGUAACGGCCUACCAAGGCGACGAUCCGUAACUGGUCUGAGAGGAUGCUCAGUCACACUGGAACUGAGACACGGUCCAGACUCCUACGGGAGGCGGCAGUGGGGAAUAUUGGACAAUGGGCGAAAGCCUGAUCCAGCCAUGCCGCGUGUGUGAAGAAGGCCCUCGGGUCGUAAAGCACUUUAAGUUGGGAGGAAGGGCUUACAGCGAAUACCUGUGAGUUUUGACGUUACCGACAGAAUAAGCACCGGCUAACUUCGUGCCAGCCGCCGCAGUAA